AGAGUUUGAUCCUGGCUCAGGAUGAACGCUAGCGGCAGGCCUAAUACAUGCAAGUCGAACGGUGGCAGCAAUGUCAUAGUGGCGCACGGGUGCGUAACACGUAACUAACCUACCUAUAACUGGGGGAUAGCCCGCCGAAAGGCGGAUUAAUACCGCAUAAGCUCUUUGGCUGGCAUCAGCUGAUUAGUAAAGAUUUAUUGGUUAUAGAUGGGGUUGCGGGUCAUUAGCUAGUUGGUUAGGUAACGGCUGACCAAGGCGACGAUGACUAGGGGAGCUGAGAGGCUGGUCCCCCACACGGGCACUGAGAUACGGGCCCGACUCCUACGGGAGGCAGCAGUAGGGAAUAUUGGGCAAUGGGCGAGAGCCUGACCCAGCCAUGCCGCGUGCAGGAAGAAGGCUUUCUGAGUCGUAAACUGCUUUUGACAGGGAAGAAUAAGCACUACGUGUAGUGUGAUGACGGUACCUGCAGAAUAAGCACCGGCUAACUCCGUGCCAGCAGCCGCGGUAAUACGGAGGGUGCGAGCGUUGUCCGGAUUUAUUGGGUUUAAAGGGUGCGUAGGCGGCCUUGUAAGUCCGGGGUGAAAGCCCGUUGCUCAACAACGGAACUGCCCUGGAUACUGCAAGGCUUGAGUACAGACGAGGUUGGCGGAAUGGACCGAGUAGCGGUGAAAUGCAUAGAUACGGUCCAGAACCCCGAUUGCGAAGGCAGCUGACUAGGCUGUUACUGACGCUGAGGCACGACAGCGUGGGGAGCGAACAGGAUUAGAUACCCUGGUAGUCCACGCCGUAAACGAUGGAUACUCGCUGCGAGCUAAAGAUUGUUCGUGGCUUAGGGAAACCGAUAAGUAUCCCACCUGGGGAGUACGCCGGCAACGGUGAAACUCAAAGGAAUUGACGGGGGCCCGCACAAGUGGUGGAGCAUGUGGUUUAAUUCGAUGAUACGCGAGGAACCUUACCUAGGCUAGAAUGCGCGUGACCGGCUCAGAGAUGAGCCUUUCCUUCGGGACACAAAGCAAGGUGCUGCAUGGCCGUCGUCAGCUCGUGCCGUGAGGUGUUGGGUUAAGUCCCGCAACGAGCGCAACCCCUAUGUUUAGUUGCCAGCAUUGAGUUGGGCACUCUAAGGAAACUGCCCCGGUUAACGGGGAGGAAGGUGGGGAUGACGUCAAGUCCUCAUGGCCUUUAUAUCCAGGGCUACACACGUGCUACAAUGGGCGGAACAAAGGGUCGCAA
rnacentral:rRNA from 1 species